rnacentral:rRNA from 2 species
AUGGACGCAAGUCUGAUGGAGCAACGCCGCGUGAGUGAAGAAGGCUUUCGGGUCGUAAAACUCUGUUGUUGGAGAAGAAUGGUCGGCAGAGUAACUGUUGUCGGCGUGACGGUAUCCAACCAGAAAGCCACGGCUAACUACGUGCCAGCAGCCGCGGUAAUACGUAGGUGGCAAGCGUUAUCCGGAUUUAUUGGGCGUAAAGCGAGCGCAGGCGGUUUUUUAAGUCUGAUGUGAAAGCCCUCGGCUUAACCGAGGAAGUGCAUCGGAAACUGGGAAACUUGAGUGCAGAAGAGGACAGUGGAACUCCAUGUGUAGCGGUGAAAUGCGUAGAUAUAUGGAAGAACACCAGUGGCGAAGGCGGCUGUCUGGUCUGUAACUGACGCUGAGGCUCGAAAGCAUGGGUAGCGAACAGGAUUAGAUACCCUGGUAGUCCAUGCCGUAAACGAUGAAUGCUAGGUGUUGGAGGGUUUCCGCCCUUCAGUGCCGCAGCUAACGCAUUAAGCAUUCCGCCUGGGGAGUACGACCGCAAGGUUGAAACUCAAAGGAAUUGACGGGGGCCCGCACAAGCGGUGGAGCAUGUGGUUUAAUUCGAAGCAACGCGAAGAACCUUACCAGGUCUUGACAUCUUUUGAUCACCUGAG